AACCUCUUCGGAGGUUAGCGGCGGACGGGUGAGUAACACGUGGGCAACCUACCUUGUAGAUGGGGAUAACAUCGAGAAAUCGGUGCUAAUACCGAAUAACACUUUUCUCCACAUGGAGGAAAGUUAAAAGUUGGCUUCUGCUAACACUACAAGAUGGGCCCGCGGCGCAUUAGCUAGUUGGUGAGGUAACGGCUCACCAAGGCGGGGAAGCGUAGCCGACCUGAGAGGGUGAUCGGCCACACUGGGACUUAUUCACGGCCCAGGGACAUACGGGAGGCAUCACUCCAUCUGACGU
rnacentral:misc_RNA from 1 species